rnacentral:rRNA from 1 species
CAAACCAAAGCUGGCGACCGGCGCACGGGUGAGUAACACGUAUCCAACCUGCCUCAUACUCGGGGAUAGCCUUUCGAAAGAAAGAUUAAUAUCCGAUAGCAUAUAUUUCCCGCAUGGGUUUUAUAUUAAAGAAAUUCGGUAUGAGAUGGGGAUGCGUUCCAUUAGUUUGUUGGGGGGUAACGGCCCACCAAGACUACGAUGGAUAGGGGUUCUGAGAGGAGGGUCCCCCACAUUGGAACUGAGACACGGUCCAA